UCAAAACGUACGGUUCGUUUAACAGUUGGUUAGAUAAAUAAAAAAACACAAAUUAGCUGCAUUUAAUGCAAUUUUUUAGAGUUUGUGUGUGUGUUUUUUAUAUUUUUUUUUCGAUUAACGCGUGUGAAUUUUUGUUAAGAAAAUAUAAAUAAAAGAUUUAAAAUUUUAAAGCAAUAUUUUUAACAGAAAAAUUUGUUGUUAAAGAAAACGUAAUUUAAGAAAACCACAAAUACAUACAUACAUAUUUUUAUAAAAUAAAAGAAAAUUUUAUUUUUUAUAAGUUGUUUAUAAGAAAAAAAAUUGAAGAAAAUAUUAAAAGAAAAUUAAAGAUAAAUUAAAAAUUGCUAAAAAAAAGUGAUGAAAAUUGUUAAAAAAAAAAACAGCAAAAUUUUUACAAAUAUUUUAAAAUAAUUUAGAAGUUUUAAACUAAAAAUUAUUGAAUAGAGUUCAAAAUCUACGAAACACCACUUUAAAAAGGAUUAAAAAAAUUGCAUAAAAAUUUUAUAAUACCACACCACCACCCCCGUCUUCUAUACUCAUCUUUCUAACUGCUGUCAAGUGUUAAACUUUACCUGACAACACUUUUAUUUUUGGAUACGUGUUGAAUUGCAAAAUAAUAAAAUAUUUUUUUAAAUUUAUUUGAAUUUCCUUUAAACGAACACAUUUCGUACUAUUCGCACUUUACUUAACGUAAGUUUGUAUGGUCAUCAUCUCUAGACAAAAACAUUUUGCUACAGCUGUGUAAAAGUUGCUAAAAGUUGUCAUAGUAACUAGUCUUUGGUUACAGCAAACAAAAAAAAAA